UGAUAGUGGUGAGGGCAAUCUCUGAGAAGACCCUUGAACCUUUCCCAAGCCUGAUAUAGAUUCUCGCCAUCUUUCUUCCAGAAUAACAUGAUUUCUCUCUUGAGCUA